rfam:Pseudoruegeria aquimaris strain CECT 7680 genome assembly, contig: 0001
UCGCCGAUGCCAAGCUGCCCGACAUGCAGGCCGGCUGGGAACAGGCGACCUCCAACGUCAUGGCGGGGCUGUCGGGGCUGAACAUGAUCUACGAGGCCG